AGAGUUUGAUCAUGGCUCAGGACGAACGCUGGCGGCGUGCUUAACACAUGCAAGUCGAACGAGGUCCAUCCUUCGGGAGAAGACCUAGUGGCGAACGGGUGAGUAACACGUGAGCAACCUGCCCCGAAGACCGGGAUAACAGCGGGAAACCGCUGCUAAUACCGGAUAUCCCCAUCGGACCACAUGGCCUGAUGAGGAAAUGAAUCUCGCUUCGGGAGGGGCUCGCGGCCUAUCAGCUUGUUGGUGGGGUAACGGCCCACCAAGGCGACGACGGGUAGCUGGUCUGAGAGGACGAUCAGCCACACUGGGACUGAGACACGGCCCAGACUCCUACGGGAGGCAGCAGUGGGGAAUAUUGCGCAAUGGGCGAAAGCCUGACGCAGCAACGCCGCGUGAGGGAUGAAGGCCUUCGGGUUGUAAACCUCUUUCGAGCAGGGACGAUAAUGACGGUACCUGCAGAAGAAGCUCCGGCCAACUACGUGCCAGCAGCCGCGGUAAUACGUAGGGAGCGAGCGUUGUCCGGAUUCAUUGGGCGUAAAGAGCUCGUAGGCGGCUUGAUAAGUCGGAUGUGAAACCUCCAGGCUCAACCUGGAGUCGCCAUCCGAUACUGUCAUGGCUAGAGUCCGGUAGGGGCCCACGGAACUCCUGGUGUAGCGGUGAAAUGCGCAGAUAUCAGGAAGAACACCGGUGGCGAAGGCGGUGGGCUGGGCCGGUACUGACGCUGAGGAGCGAAAGCGUGGGGAGCGAACAGGAUUAGAUACCCUGGUAGUCCACGCCGUAAACGUUGGGCACUAGGUGUGGGGCCUUAUCAACGGGUUCCGUGCCGUAGCUAACGCAUUAAGUGCCCCGCCUGGGGAGUACGGCCGCAAGGCUAAAACUCAAGGAAUUGACGGGGCCCGCACAAGCGGCGGAGCAUGUGGCUUAAUUCGAGGCACGCGAGGAACCUUACCUGGGUUGAACUACCCAGGA
rnacentral:rRNA from 1 species